CCUACGGGUGACAGCAGUGAGGAAUAUUGGUCAAUGGCCGGAAGGCUGAACCAGCCAUGCCGCGUGAAGGUCAGUGCCCUAUGGGCGUUAAACUUCUUUUGUGCGGGAGCAAUAAUGGUCACGUGUGGCCAGACGAGAGUACCGUACGAAUAAGCAUCGGCUAACUCCGUGCCAGCAGCCGCGGUAAUACGGGGGAUGCAAGCGUUAUCCGGAUUUAUUGGGUUUAAAGGGUGCGUAGGCUGUGAGGUAAGUCAGCGGUGAAAUGCCCCCGCUCAACGGGGUGAAGUGCCAUUGAUACUGCCUGGCUGGAAUGCGGAUGCGGUGGGAGGAAUGUGUGGUGUAGCGGUGAAAUGCAUAGAUAUCACACAGAACACCGAUUGCGAAGGCAUCUCACGAAUCCGCGAUUGACGCUGAUGCACGAAAGCGUGGGUAUCAAACAGGAUUAGAUACCCGUGUAGUC
rnacentral:rRNA from 1 species